GGAUUGCCGAUUAGCGGUCUUUCGGGAUUGCUUUUUGGUGAGAACCAAUUUAAUCGCAGUGGCUUGAACCGGGCAAAAGUCGUAACAAGGUGGCUGUAGGUGAACCUGCUGCCGGAUCAUUACCGAU
rnacentral:rRNA from 1 species